UGUAGGCUGCAACUCGCCUACACGAAGUUGGAAUUGCUAGUAAUCGCAGAUCAGAAUGCUGCGGUGAAUACGUUCCCGGGCCUUGUACACACCGCCCGUCACACCAUGGGAGCCGGUAAUACCCGAAGUCAGUAGUCUAACCGCAAGGGGGACGCUGCCGAAGGUAGGAUUGGCGACUGGGGUGAAGUCGUAACAAGGUAAC
rnacentral:rRNA from 1 species